rnacentral:tRNA from 1 species
GGAGAGAUGGCUCAGUGGUUAAGAGCACUGGCUGUUCAUCCAGAGGACCUGGGUUCGAUUCCCAGCACCC